rnacentral:rRNA from 1 species
AUAUAAAGAAAAGACGAACAGCUCAGUAACUCUUAUUUUAUUUGAUGUAUUAGGAUUAUAACUAUGUUAAAUUAUAGAUAACAAUAAUACAAUAAGAAUAAGAUCUAUCAGUUAGUUGUUAAGGUAAUGGCUUAACAAGACUAUGACGGAUAACGGUAUUACUUUGUAAUAUUCCGGAGAAGGAGCCUGAGAGAUUGCUACUAAGUCUAAGGAUUGCAGCAGGGGCGAAACUUGACCUAUGAUAUGAUAUUGAGGCAGUUAUGAGUAGUAUUUUUAAUUAUUGUAGUAUUGUAAGUAUAUACUACAAGAUAAAUCGGAGGGCAAAUCGAGUG